rnacentral:rRNA from 1 species
ACUCYUACGGGAGGCAGCAGUGGGGAAUUUGCGCAAUGGGCGAAAGCCUGACGCAGCAACGCCGCGUGAGGGAUGAAGGCCUUCGGGUUGUAAACCUCUUUUAUCCGGGAAGAAACCCCCGUCCGCAAAUAGCGGGCGGGAUUGACGGUACCGGUUGAAUAAGCCACGGCUAACUCUGUGCCAGCAGCCGCGGUAAGACAGAGGUGGCAAGCGUUGUUCGGAUUUACUGGGCGUAAAGAGCGCGUAGGCGGUCCUUUAAGUCGGUGGUGAAAUCCCGGGGCUUAACCCCGGAACUGCCUCCGAUACUGUUGGACUUGAGUGCGGGAGAGGGUAGUGGAAUUCCCAGUGUAGAGGUGAAAUUCGUAGAUAUUGGGAAGAACACCAGUGGCGAAGGCAGCUACCUGGACCGCAACUGACGCUGUGGCGCGAAAGCGUGGGGAGCAAACAGGAUUAGAUACCCUGGUAGUCCACGCCCUAAACGAUGGACACUAGGUGUGGGAGGUAUCGACCCCUCCCGUGCCGCAGCUAACGCAUUAAGUGUCCCGCCUGGGGAGUACGGUCGCAAGAUUAAAACUCAAAUGAAUUGACGG